rfam:Buceros rhinoceros silvestris contig98296, whole genome shotgun sequence.
UCAAAGGCUCUUUUCAGAGCCACCCAGAAAAUCAUAAGAGAGCUC